AAUCCACCCACCCUAAACUGUUUGGGAUUCAAUAACAAGUCUCUCCAGAUUGCUUUAAACUCAGGUACACAUGAACCAAAUCUUGCAAAAGCCUGAUUAAGUUCCUCCCUAUCUUCAAACACAACGAAAAUCUCUCCCUCAAAAUUCAACCUCCAUUCUUUUCAAUGCGUAUAUCAUAGUACUCUAUAAUGAUCAGCUAAUAAACGAAGAAACAUGCAUAAAGCUAUAGUCAAAACCAAUGGUUCUUCCUCUAAUAAGCAACCCCAAUAUGCUAUCCAAACACAAGCAUAAACUUCCCUCCUUAAAAGCGCGACGAACAUUUCAUCAAAUCCUAUAGCCAAUACAUUCAUCAUCUCUUUAGUAGCUGAAUUUUUGCAUACAAUUCAUCAACAAUCUUAACAAGCAUACACGUAAAAUAACUACAACCAUCAGUGAUAGAUAUUGACUAUGAACUUUUGCCAAAUGGGGUUUGGUUAGAAUCCCAGAAAUUAUACCUUUAUUCAAGUUCGAGUAUUCUUCUUGCGUGUAUGCAGACGUUACCCCUUUGUUUUAGAGUGGUAAGUUUUACAUAGUGUGGUUAUAAGAGUUAGUUAAUUAAAAUGAUUUUUGAACGAGAUAUGUUUGAUAGUAGAAAAUUACAAAGUGUAUACUAUAUAGUAAUGACUUUGGGGCUAUAAUUUUACGUGCAGUAUUUUCCUUGCUACGUAAGUAGUUAAGAAUCUUCAACAUUAAUCUGGUUUCUAGAUUGAUCAUGUCAAUUAAUUAGAUUGAGACUCGUGAUCCAACUAAUCCAGAUUUGCGAUACAUAAGGACUAUUUUCUUGAUUGACUACACAUUUGGGUUAAUGUAGACCACAAUUCAUGACCUGACUAAUUCAGUUUCAUGUUACAUAAGGAUCAUUAAGAAGAAAGUUUUUCUCAUAGAUAGAAAUCCCAUUUAUUUCUAAAACUCAAACAUAUACCUUUUGGGUAACGAUAAAAGUAUCACAUCCAUACCACCACACUCCUAAGCGGUAUUCAUGACUAGUGGCGCAGAGCCACCUUACGCUAAGGGGUGUUAAUUGACUUUCCUUCAAAUAUUACAUGACUAGGUAUAUCGAAUUUCUAACAUUACAUGGUAAAUUCACUUUAUAUUUUCUAUAACAAUGAUAUCACUCCGUGUUUUACCCUAUUUGCUUAACUUUUCAAAAAAUGUCAUCGAGCGUGUGUCUGAUCCUUCAAAAAAAAUGCAUUUUUGGAGGAUUCAACACAGGUACAACAAUAUUUUUAAAGAGUUCGAGCAACUUAGGUAUUACCUAUUAUCUCACAAAACUACUAAUGUGAUAUCAUGAAAGGAAACUUGGAUGGUAUACAUUCCCUUUAACUUGAGUUGAGAGGCGACAAAUUGGCGAGUUGGGCUGAAUUUAGACAAAUUGAAGUUACUUGAGCUAAAAAGCCGGUCAAAAUCCAUAUAUAAAAUAAAUAAAAAAGAAACUUCUUGAAAACGCUUUGUUUUCCAACAAGUGUUUGGUUCCCAUAUCAAAACUCAUUCUAAUCCUGAUGAAUUCAAAUUCACAUUGUGAAGGCCCAUUAAAAGAGAAGUGCGGUUUUUCCAUUCUUAGGACCCAAGAGUGUAAAAUAAAACUCCUUCAAUUUGCAACAUGAGAUUCAGGAAUUUGUUGGAAGAAUACUUGAAUGUUUACUUACCAUAAUUAAUUACAUGACAUGGAAAAGAAAAGAAUUAGACGGGGCCAAAAAAUUACCAUAUUCUGAAAACUAAUACUAAAUAUAUUUUAACAUAAAGUAUCUAUAAUAUUCAUGACUCGUACAUAAGUUUUGAAAUCAACAAGUUAAAACUAUAAACCCUUCCUCUCGUCUUCAAAGCCCUUGGCUAGUUCCAAAUCCAUGUCAAACAUAGUUCUUCCUUGUGUAAUAUUCGCGAUUGUUUUAGCCAUUAUUCUAGUACUAGUAUUUUUGUUCAUAAAGUUCACAUGUGCACGUUUUCAAGAAAGAGAAGCUCGUUAUGUAGCAGCAUCAAGAGCUCGUGAAGACAGAGCUUGUGAAAUAUUAGCAGCUCGUUUUUAUGCAGAAGCUCGUUACUGGGCAACAAGAGCAGUGACUCCGCCAGGAACAAACAGUGAGUGUUGCAUCUGUUUAGGAGAAUUCGAAAAACAAGACAAUGGUGAUGCUGAUGAUGAUACGAUAACUCUUCCUACUUGCUAUCAUAGGUUUCACACGACUUGUAUUAUGUCAUGGUUAUUACUAGCAAAGAAAAACGCAUGCCCCUUCUGUCGUACUUGUAUCAGUACCACUUUCAUCAGAUGCAUAUACUGGCACUUUCGACAUCUAAUCAAGCCAUCGUCACAGCUUACAGUUACUUAAAUUUGAUUGUAUCGUUACUUUAUUGUACUUCACUAUUUAAGAGUUUCUAUUUUCAAUCAUGUCCCUAAAUUCAAGAGUACAGGAACUAUGGCACUAUCUAAACCUAAUAAGGUUGCAUAGGAAUAAAGUUCAAAUCUUUGUUGAAGCACUUACUUCUACUUACUAAUCUUGCAUAAUCGCGGUGAAUCCAGAACCCAUAGAAAGAGAAGUUAUACUGCAUAUUGAAGCUCAAGUGGUUGAACACAGAUGUUAUAGAAUUCACCAUCAAAGAAAAGCCAAUCCUAAAACAACGCAAGCUUUAAAUUUGCUUCGAUAUAACUCUUCUUGCAGGACGUUAAUAGCCAACCAGUCACAACUCAUCUUGAUAAGAUAUCUGAUUUCACCAGAUGGACGAACAGAACAACAUAUAAACCUAACAAUGUCAGUCAAAACUGUUUCUUUUUUUGACAAAGGUAACAGAGUCAAAACUGUUUCUCUUUCAGGUACUCUAAGAAACUUCUUCGCGAACCAAUCUUGGUACCUCAUUUGGCUACCGAACUUCACACGUGUAAGCAAAAACCUCAAUUGGGUUUCCAUUUCAGUAGCUAUACAGAGGUUUCAUAAACUUUGCAAAAUAUCUUCAAAUCCAUCCACCCUAAACUGUUUGGGAUUCAAUAAGAAGUCUCUCCAGAUUGCUUUAAACUCAGGUACACAUGAACCAAAUCUUGCAAAAGCCUGAUUAAGUUGCUCCCUAUCUUCAAACACAACGAGAAUCACUCCCUCGAAAUUCAACAUCCAUUCUUUUCAAUGCAUAUAUCAUAGGAUUACUUGGUACUCUAUAAUGAUCAGCUAAUAAAUGAAGAAACACGUAUAAAGCUUUAGUCAAAACCAAUGGUUCUUCCUCUAAUAAGCAAUCCCAAUAUGCUCUCCAAACACAAGCAUAAAUUUCCC
rnacentral:lncRNA from 1 species